rnacentral:lncRNA from 1 species
UAAUCAUUGUUGUGUCAGUUAUUCACUUCUGGGCUCGCGAUGUCGCUGACAGCACAGUGUCAACCCCUCGUGAAAACACUUAAAAAUGGCGAAGCUGUCCCCGAGGCUGCGUGCUUCUGGAUGAAGGGCCCUGGCCGCACAGGGGCAGGUGGAGGAAAGUGCAGAGAGGGAUUUGCUUCGGAAUUUCCAGCCCAAUCCCUACUGUGGGAAGUGGAAGAAUGAGGCUGGUUCCAGCUUGCUUGCUUUAUUUAUGUUGUUAUGUUAUGUUAUGUUAUGUUAUGUUAUGUUAUGUUAUGUUAUGUUAUGUUAUGUUUCGAGAUGGAAUCUGGCUCAGUUACGCAGGCUGGAGCACGAUCUCGGCUCACUGCAACUUCUGCCUCCCAGGUUCAAGCAAGUCUCCUGCCACAGCUUCCCGAGUAGGUGGGAUUACAGGCACCUGCCACCACGCCCGGUUAUUUUUUUGUAUCUUUAGUACAGACGGAAUUUCACCAUGUUGGCCAGGCUGGUCUCGAACUCCUGACCCCGUGAUCCGCCCGCCUCGGCCUCCUAAAGUGCUGGGAUUACAGGCGUGAGCCACUGCACCCAGCCCUAGCCUGCUUUCUUAAAUCCAGGAACGGGGCUCUAACAAGCCCAACAGGUCUCAACUCCAAGGCCCCCUUCCCGGCUGCUCACUGGCCCCUGCCGAGAGGGAUCCUUUGGGUACAGAAGCACUGACUUCCCUGUGUUCCCGGGGUUCCUGUCCGAGCCUGUGCUCUGCACACGUGCCCCUUCCCACGUGUCCCUUCCAUGGAUUAAUUUAGGAGUUAAUUCAUGAAGAGGUGCCCAGAGCUUGGCCCGGCCCCCGGUGAGAGGCAUUAUUUUUAUUCUUCCCCCUCCAGAACAGGGGUCUUGUCCGUCUUCUCUUUGGUGGUAUAUUGGAUGAAGUAGGUGCUCAGCAAAUGUAGGAGGAGGUGCAGACUCCACAUCUGCAAAGUCCAUGCACCCACUGCGGCCAGCACACCAUCACUGCCUCCGGACAGUGCCCGGCCCUCCCUGUCUUUCCUUCCUGAGCUUUGGAACUAAGCAGUGAGAGUGGUUCAUGGUCGCAAUCCCUUCAAUAUCUGCGAAGAGCUUAUCUGAGGAUAUCUUGGUGCUGAUCACCUCUGAGAAGCAGCGUUGAUCUUGACUCACUGGAUCCGAUUCAUUCAGGAUAAGCCACACCCUAUUGCCAUUUUCUUCACGCUCCUCUAUUAUCUGGGGCAUAAAAUUAACAUUUAAUUUUCUUCUUUUUCUUUUAAGAGACAAGGUCUUGCUCUGUGGCCCAGGCUGGAGUGCAGUGGCACGAUCUCAGCUCACUGUAGCCUCCACCUCCCGGGUUCAAGGGAUCCUUGCACCUCAGCUUCUGGAGGAGCUGGGACCACAGAGGCAUGUCACUGCACCCAGAUAAUUUUCUAUUUUUUGUAGAGAUGGGGUCUCACUAUGUUUCCCAGGCUGGUCUCAAACUCCUGGCCUCAAGGGAUCCUCCCCCGUGGCCUCCCAAAGUGCUGAGAUUGCAGGCGUGAGCCUCCGCGCCCAGCCAAUGUUGAACUUUUGCUGGAAAGUCGUGCUGUUGUGUGUAUGUCAGUUGAAGCUGGGCGGGCAUCUUAGCCAAAUAUCUGGUGGUUUGGUGGCAUCAAAUUGUCUCCUCUUCCUUCAGUCCUAGAGGCAAAUGCAUGUCCCAUCCAUCAUUCACAGGUUUCUGCAAGGUUUGAAGUCUGCACACUUCAUUUCCAUUCUUUAUUGUUCCUAACUGGUCUUUCUUUCUUUCUUUCUUUUUCUUUCUUUCUUUCUUUUUUGUUUUUGAAAUGGAGUUUCGCUCUUGUUGCCUAGGCUGGAGGGCAGUGGCACUAUCUCAGCUCAUUGCAACCUCCACCUCCUGGGUUCAAGCAAUUCUCCUGCCUCAGCCUCCCAAGUGGCUGGGAUUACAGGCGCCUGCGACCAUGCCCAGCUAAUUUUUGUAUUUUUAGUAGAGACGGGGUUUCACCAUGUUGGCCAGGCUGGUCUCGAACUCCUGACCUCAAGUGAUCGGCCCACAUCGGCCUCCCAAAGUGCUGGGAUUACAGGCGUGAGCCACCGCACCCGGCCUCCUAACUGAUGUUUCAGUUUGGAUCUGAAGAACGGGAAUUUUCAUAAUUUCUUUUUCAAGGUUUUUGAGAAUUAGUUUGUUGCCAUUUCCGAACUUCCAUCCCGUUGUGAUGUGCAUAACCAGUCGGCUUCCUUAGCCUCAUCCUCCACCCAGGGAAGCUCCGACCACGCCAGCACCAGGAAGGCCAGCCGGGGAGCAGCCUGGCCCAGGGGUCAGGAGCCGGGGCCUGUGUGGCCGGCACCUGGUGGAUGUGAGCCCCAGGACAGGGAGUUUCUGUACCCAUGAGAUGGAAGCAGCUCACUUCUUGGCCCCUUUCAAGAAUCUGGGAAGAGCUCCAGGAGUCAGAGGUCUGGGUGCCAGUCCCAGCUCUGCUCCAAACUGGCCGUGUGACCUCAGCGAAGUUAUUUCCCAGUUUUGUUUUCUUCUUUUACAAAAUGACAGGGUGAGAGUCGUGACUGGUUUUCUUAGUGUCAGAAGUGCUUAACUCUGUUAGAAAGCGUCUCAGGUUGUUUUGUUUGACAGUGACUACCCACUUUGCAGAGAUGUGGGCUGCCCGCUCUCUGGGGAAUACUGGAGGUUAUGCCCCAUCUCCUGUCCUGUGGGAGAACCCACCCUCCGAACGAGGCUCUGGUGAGGUUUUCACAAUCAGUAACAAGGCCGAUCUCCAUCAACGGAAGCCUCCCUGUUUGAGAUGGGGUAUGUGCUCCUUACCCAGGCUCCUGAACAAAACCCACCUCCUUGUCUUGGCACCACUGAGAGUGCACACCGAGGGGGCUCCAGCACCAUAUUGUGGGAACAGUCACGAGAAAGCAGCUCAGACUUCACACCCAGAGCCCUUGAUCCCUACACACCCAGUAUUCCUUCACAGCGCUCUUCCUGCUUCCUGGACACGUGGAACUGCUUCUCCAUCGGGGAGGAUCCAUCCAGAGCCCUUUGGGUGGGUGCUCAGGGCAAUAGCUGCUGCCUCUUCCUUCUGCUCAGCGCUGGGAGGCAUUACACUCUCCCCAUAUGGCACGGAGCAGAACGUGCACCUUUGGCUCUGGAAGGAAUGAACAUCCUGCCCGUUAGUUAGCCCUGGGAGUCACUGACUCGGUUCUUCCCUGGACACCAAUGUCCUAUGGAGCACACAGAAAGCCACGGAAGUGUGGUCUGCGGGUUGAGACGGACUCCGUUCAUUUGGAUAAGCAGAGGAAAUUUGGCAGAAACGACCAAAUGCAAACUACGUGUAGCAGCCUGAGACCGGCCGUCUACUGAAACAAAGGAUGCAGUUCAGUCGGAAACCACGCUUAGCAGUGUAGCUGUCUUUAGCCAUCCAGGCCCUGAGAACCAAUGAACAACCCAGCUUGGCCGCUUAGAACAUUUUUUCUGUACUUGAGUUAAAUAGAUAUCCAAGAACCAUUACUCAUUUUUAAUGUGGAGAAGUCGGUAUUCUAUUCUCGUGUUCUAUGUUUUUUAAAGCGGCAAUUUGAAUUAUUUCGUGCGAUAGAAAACCUUAAACACAAAGUAACGUUUCUAACAAAAGGGCUGUCGAUCAAGUGACAAACACGUCCUACUUUUAGAUACGAGCACGACUGAGGCAACGGCAUGAAAACGCCUAAAGUGGGCUGCUGGGGAGACAAGAUCUGGCCGCGAAUGGAACUCGCGGCAGCUCAUUAACGGGACCGUCCAGCAGGAAGGUGGGUUGGCAGCCUUCUCCCAGGGCUCCCCACGAUCCCUACCCCUGGUGUGGUGUGGCCUUCCUCCUCACAUGUCGUCUGGACCAAGCAGUGUGUUGUUCUCAUCCAUAAAGAGUGAUGGGCCGGGCACCAUGGCCACACCUGUGAUCCCAGCACUGUGGGAGGCUGAGGCAGGAGGAUCUCCUGAGCCCAGGAGUUUGAGACCAGCCUGGGUAGCAUAGGGAGACCCUGUCUCUACAGAAAAAAAGUUAGCCAGGUAUUCCAGAGGCUGAGGUGGGAGGAUCGCUUGAACCCAGGAGGUGGAGACUGCAGUGAGCCGUGAUCGCACCACUGCACUCCAACCUGGGCAACAGACUGAGACCCAGUUUCUAAAACAAAUAAUAAAAAGGCAGGGUGCAGUGGCUCAUACCUGUAAUCCCAGCACGUUGGGAGGCCAAGGUGGGCGGAUCACUUGAGGUCAGGAGUUCGAGACCAGCUGGCCCACAUGGUAAAACCCCAUCUCUACUAAAAUGCAAAAAUCAACCGGGCACAGUGGCACAGGCCUGUAAUCCCAGCUCUUCAGGAGGCCGAGGCAGGAGAACUGGGAGGCGAGAUUGCAGUGAGCUGAGAUCGUGCCACUGCACUCCAUCCAGGCUGGGUGACAGAGCUAGACACCAUCUUGAAAAAAAAUAAAAAUAAAAUAAAAAGAGUGAUGAGGCAUCCUGAGAUUCAUUUAUAAAAUGCCGUGAUUCAGGUCUCAGGGCACUGUCGCCCCUACUCACUUUGAUGAAGCCAGUGCUGGGUUGCUGCCGAGGUGGGGAGGUUCAUGGGCCAGGAACUGAAGGCAGCCAUGAGAGCCAGACCCCUCCACCACCCCCAAGACAGCAGGGAACUCACUCCAACAGCCACCCUGGGAUGCUGCCACAGCUGAGCCUGGAGGUGACCGUGACCCUGGCUGACGUCGGACUGCAGCUUUGUAAGGGAGACUGAGCCGGGACCCAGACCUACAAAAGCUGAGAUGAUAAACACUGUUUUAAGCUGCUGUGUGUCGCAGUGACUCGUGUGGCAGUGGAUUUCUAGCAGAGCCGUCGUUCCUGUCUGGCUUCUGUCAGCUCAACACUCUGUAGGGCCACCCAUGCUGUCGUGCAUGCCAGCGGUGGACUUUUCAUUGCUGAGUAAUAUUUCAUUCCAUUGCAUGCUCGCACCUCGGUUUGUUGAACUGUCUACCUGUUGAUGGGCUCUGGGACAUAGGCAGUUCUGGGCUAUUAUGAGUAAAGCUGCU